UUGGCCCUGCUGGAUCAGUGGCUGGGCUCGACGAUCUGGGAGAUGUUUCCACCGGAAUUGUUCUGUGAUUCCGUCACUGAGGGGUGGGGUGGAAGCUCUGCCCAUCCUUGUAUCCCUGUCCAUCAUCCGUCCCUCCUUCCCUGUGUCCCGCACAGGCACAGAACUCCUCGUUUCCGUGAAUCCUGGAAUUGCAGAAUAUCCCAAGUUGGAAAGGGACCCACAGGAUCAUGGAUGCAACCCCAGCCUGGGCAUCCCAGACCCAAUUCCAGGCCAUGAAAAGUCUGUGGUGUCCUCGUGCAUUUGGCAGGACAAGGGCAGGUGGGAGGAAAAGGAGGUUUUUUUGUUUGUUCUUUCCCAUUUCUCAGAUCCUGAGGUGGGCUUUAGGUACAAAAAAGACCUUUUGCAAAUUUCUGCUGUGAUUUGGACGUUUUUCAGGCCUGGGGACCUUUUGUGAGUCCAGAGCAGAGCCCAAAUCUGGCCAAGGAUGGCUGAGCGAGACUUAACGAUGUCGCUUGAGUAAUUAGACAAAAAAAGCUCCUUACCAGGCACAGGGAGGGUUGGGAAGGGCGGAGCUGAUGGGGUUGUUAAUCCCAUAAACCAGGGAAAAUCCAGGCAAUAACUCCUGUGGGAGCAGCCUGUAAAACGCUGGGAGAGCAGCACUGCUCCCAAUCCGUCAUUUUUAGUGCCAGAAUUCCCUGCUGGAUUCGUUUGCCCCUCUCCAGGGGGGAUUUGCUGAGGGGUCACCCCUGGCUCCACACUUUUGCCACCUCAGCUGGGGCCGGAGCCUGGAGUGCGGCUGAGGAUCCCCAAAUGAAAUCAAGGGGGAAAGACAUUGGAGAAAAAUGAUCCCAAAACUACGAUAAGAAGAAAGAACGCCAAAUUCCCUCAUUCUUGGGAAGUUGGUGCUCUGAGGACUCCAAAUCCUGCUUCCUCCUCUACUUGGGGAUGAGGGAUUCGUCUCACCCAGCUUUGGGUCCCUGCAAUUUUCCCAGAGCUGGAAGAUCAGAGGUGACUCUCCCACCUGGGAUUCAUCUGUGGGAUUUCAGGUGGCCAAGCCGGGGUGAGGGGACUGAGGAAGCCUGGACAGGUAAAAUGUCAGUGUCCAGCCAGGGGAAAUGUUUGGGAAUCUUGGUGUCUUCCCAGUGAAUGUCCUGGCUCAGCCAGGGAUUUUUCCAGUCUCCCCUUUCCCAGCCCGGAGUCGAUCAGCCAAGUUCAUCCCUCCUUAUCUUUUUUCACUGCCAUGGAAUUGGGCUGGGCCAGGCCAUGAGGCACUUCCAGGAGAUUCCUCCCAUCCCAAGGCAUGGUCACUUCCAUGGGAGGACAGAUCCUGCCCCUCUGAGCCCUCGAUCUUGGGAGGAGAGGCCUCCGUCUCCGAGAGUCCCAGGGAAUCCCAAAGAGCCAUCCUGGAGCAGACGCCUCGUUUAUGGAUGCCCACAGAUGUUGUCCCAUUCCAGGUGACGUCAUUCAGAUGAUGAUGGCAGACACUGGAAGCAUUUUCAGGGAGCUGCCGACGGAUUCCAGAAGGGAUUUGGAACCCAACCCUGAGGUCUCUGGUCAUUCCGUGACCCCAGGAAUGGGGUCAUUCCAACAGUGUCCAGGGAGGAUGUGUGACAUCCCUGAGGACAGCAGCACCUGGAUCUGUCCCUCAGCAUCCCAGCAAGGUGCCAUCAUCACGUUGCCUCGGAGCAGCUUCUCUGUGGGCGCCACUGGGAUUUGUGCCAGGGAGGUCAGGGAAGGGAGGUGACUUUCAUCAUCUCUCCCAGGUUUUCCACAGAGCUUCCAUGCAGGAUUGCAUCCCCCGGAGAAAUCAAUCCCACUGGAUCCCUCUUCCUACCUGCUUGGGGGUGAAUUAUUCCAGAGCUGGAGUGGCUUUUCUCCAGGAAGAAGUGGAAAUCAAAACCAUCCAGGAGCAUCAAUCCGCAGCUCCUUCCCAAAGGAUGGCUCCAAAGGUGUGGCCCUCCGGCACCUUCCCAGAGGAGCUGGAAUAUUUAGAGCCAGUCAGGAACAUCUGAGCGAGCCCCAGCACGGCUCUUCUGAACUCCGGGGUGGGAACCACCGAUUUUGGGGGUCCUUGACUCCCAAAAUGAAGGAUUUGGGGAGGGAAAAGUCCUUUCAUAAAUCAACCGUGGAGAACAAAGGGAGGGAACAUGGAAAGCAGAGGGGACGUCCCGGUUUCUCGAGGAGCAGAAGGAGAGGGAUGGGGAAGGCAGCGUCGUUAAAGUGAAAUCCCGACUGGAACGACAAAAGGAAAAGAAAUUAAAGCCAGAUUUGUUCCCCUGGGCCGGAGGAAGGAGGAUCCCGUUGGAUUUGUUCCUCCUUUCUUGUUUCCUUCAAAGCCAGGAGAUCAAUUGCGGGCCUUAAUGAGAACCGUCUCGUGCCAGAGGUGGACAAUGGAGCGGGACAGGGACAUGCUGGGGAUUUUACGGCAGCUCGGAGCAUUGGGAUCCAUCCCGGGAAGUGCCAGCCCAUCCCUGGAAGUGCCAGCCCAUCCUCUCCGGGCUUUGAGAACUAAACUCUGGGAGAGGAGCAGGAAAACCUCCCUGGAACUCAGAGAUCCCUAAGGAUGAGCUGGAGGAACCUUCCCCGUGUGUUUUGGGACGUGGAGGAGCACUUGGAGCCGGCAUCACCCAGGAGUGGCAUCCUGAUUUAUUCCGUGGAUUUCCACGCGGCCGCUGCGUUUCCUUGGGACCACGCGGUCCCCGUGAGCAGUUUGGAAGAUGCAGAGUUGUUCUGAUGGAAAGGGGAUUUUGGGAAGGAAUGGAGCUGUGGUGCUUUCCGCUUCAUUCCACAUCCUCAAGGGAAGUGGAAAACUCCCCCAAACUUCCCCAAAUUUCCCAAAACCAGGAAAAAACGGUUCUGAAAACUGCUGUUUUCUUCCUCUUCCCCAAAUCUUCCCUCCAUCACAAACUUCCCUCUCUUUUUCUGGGAACAGAGAAGAAAAUCCCUUCUUGCUUUGAUAAAAAUCCUGCAUAUUCCACAUGGAACGAGCUCCCAUCCUUUCCCAAUCCCGCUUUUCUGGGCCACCUCAGGGUGACAUCCUUGGUCCAGGGCCUCAUCCCAGAGGUUUUCCCCUGUU